rnacentral:lncRNA from 1 species
CUACCUUCACUCUUACACGCCUCUCCCUCUCCCUCUUCUAUCUGGACUCACCCAAUAAAACAAAAAAUAAGAAAAGAAAAAGCUAAAAACUCAUAUACAUAUACCCGCAUUUCUCUCUCACAGGAGGACUCAUUCUCUGUAGCAUGAGAAAAGAGAAACAAAAAGAAAAGAAUAAGGAAAAAGAGUCAAAAUCCAACAAACCCACGGUUACCUCUUCUCUCCAUUUUUCCGCCUCUUACCAUAAACCCACCACCAUAAAUCACCGGCGAGCCAACCGCCAACAACCCCUCUCCGUUCUUCGCUCACAAACAUCGCGUGCCACAACCACAACCCUACGACGAACUCCCUUCGACUGACCUUCGCACCACCGAAAAACCCACUUCAGAUCCGGCCACGAGACCGCCGACGUCACCACCAACAUCCAUCCAACACCGUGUUCAAAUCACCAUUAAAACCAGCGAUCUCUCUCACUGUUCUCCCACCAAUUCACUUCCGACUCACCCCGAAACAACCUUCAUGUCCACCAUCAUCUACUUGUCAAACACACAUGACCGACCACCGCAUCUAACAUAAGAUUUCGUCGAUGUAUUCCACUUCCUUCACCAUACCACGACAUCGCCGCAUGAAUAAACUCAGUAACCAUGCUCCACGAACCUUCAAGCAACCAUACUAACGAGAUUGAGUCACUUCGUCGAGUUUGUUCUUGCAAGUUUUGGGGAAGAUUUAUUUCGGUUCGGUCAUGUUUACGACGACGGUAACAACUACAUGACUCUGCUCAAGUUUCUUUACAGCAACUCUAAAAUAAUAACAUAAUAGUCGGGCUUACUCUCUCCAGGUUCUUCCGCCGGCAGUGGUAAUUUUCACAUUCUUUAUAUUGUACCUUUUUAUUCAUGAUAUUUUGUUUUGAAAGGAUUUACUUGGAACAUAGAUCUUGCCUUUGUUUUUUUUGUUUUUAAAGAAAAUAUGCCAUCACUUAGUUAUUCAAAUGACAUGAUUUACAUUUUGGUGCAUGUUGAUUAGCUUAUUUGGUUGCAAAUGCAUGUCAAGGUGUUGCUUAUCUUGGCAGAACGAUAUUUCCCCUUUCCUUUUUAGGAAUAAAUAAAGUUCGGUGGCGACUCUGUUCAGUCCAUCAUUGCGAGCGUGCGAUUGCGCUUCGCUUUGAAGUCGUAUCCCCAUUUUUUCGAGGUGCGACAGUAUCCUCGAAGAGUCUUAGAUUUAAUUAAGGUAUCUUCCCCUUACUGGAACAUCUUAAUUCUAUCAGAUAAGAUGCUAGUUCGACCCGAUACAGAGAAUCUCACUUUUACUGUUUGAGAUGUUGCUUCAUCAAUAUGAAGAGUCUCAUUUCAUAUUUUUUUAGAGAUACUGCUCUAAUAUCCUUGGAGAGUCUUAGAUUCAAUUAAGGUAUUUUUCCCUUGCUGGAACAUCUUAAUUUUAUCAUAUAAGAUGCUGCUUCGACCCGAUACAGAGAAUCUCAUUUUUACUGUUUGAGAUGCUGCUUCAUCAAUAUGAAGAGUCUCAUUUCAGAUUUUUUUUAAAGAUACCGCUCUAAUAUCCUCGGAGAGUCUUAAGUUCAAUUAAGGUAUCAUUUCCUUGCUAGGAAUAUCUUAAUUCUAUCAUAUAAGAUGCUGCUUCGAUUUGAUACAGAGAAUCUCAUUUUGCUGUUUGAGAUACUGCUUCAUUUAUCUGAAGAAUCUCAUUUAUCUGUUUGAGAUACUGCUUCAUUUAUAUGAAGAAUCUCAUUUUAUCUGUUUGAGAUAUUGCUUCAUUUAUCUGAAGAAUCUCAUUUUAUCUGUUUGAGAUACUGCUUCGUUUAUCCAAAGAAUCUCAUUUGUCUUCAAGAUACUGCUUCAGUAUCCUCGGAGAAUCUUAGAUACGAUUGAAGUAUCAUUCCCUUGUCGGAAUAUCUCGAUUAUAUCAUGUAAGAAACUGCUCCGUUGAUCCCCAGAGAAUAUCAUGUUUUCUGUUCAAGAUAAUGUUCUGCUAAUUUUCAAAAAGUCUUAGAUACCAUUGAGGUAUCAUUCUAUUGUUGGAAUAUCUCAAUCAUGGCAUCCAAGAUUCUGUUCCGAUGAUUCCCAGAGAGUCUUGACUGUUUCAUUUACCUUCUAAUAAAAACCUUUUCUUACCGUAUUUUUCACUGCAUUUUUGUUUUUGCAUUUCUUCCUUGCAUUUUCUAGGACAAAAUUUGGGUCUUUUCGUAUUUAAUUAUCUUCCACUACAAAUGUAUGAAGACUGUUGUCAUUCUUACCUUCUAGUUCAAGAUAAUAAAAUAGGGGCAGCUGUCAUACCCCAAUUUUGUCCGGGCAUAUUUAAAUUUUUGUAAAAUCGAUUUCAUUUUUAAUUUGCAUCAUAUGCACAACAUGACAUACAUUCCAUCAUGAAUAAUAAUUAAAAUAUCAGUCAGAAUAAAUUUAUUGAAAAUACGGACAAAUCGGUUGAAUCAUUUCUCAAGAACGUGCACAAAUCAACGGGUAAAAAGUUUCAAAAUUAAAAUUACAGACUCCAGUAUUAUUAAUCUACGGUUCACGUAGUUUAACCUGGUGUGCUCGUUGUUUAUUUUAGCAGCUGUUUCGAUUGCAUUUUGACCCGCCUAAGCCUUUUAACCGGUGCAAAUUUAUUUCAGAGUUUGAAGAAACGCUGUAUUUUUUCAAUAAGUAUAUUUUGUGCUGAUCAUUUUAGUGUGUCUGAUUUAAUUUUUCGAGCAAAUUUUCGUCCGACUUCUAUUUAUAAUCGGUCCUUUUAUUUCUUUGUUCUAGUAUCCAAAUUAGAGAUUGUUUUAUUAUUAUUAUUACUUAAAUAAAAUUAUUGUUUAGGAAUUUUUAAUAAAUAUUUUUCUUUAAUAAUAGGUAAUAAUAAUGGUUAACAAAUAAUAUAUAUUUUUAAUAUUGGAUCCUUUUUAAAUAGCUAGCAUUAAAAAUCUUUAAAAAAACUUUUUUUGACAUCUCAUGUCUCUCUCAUCACUCUCCACUACACGUUUCCUCUCUCUCUCUCACGCUUCCUCUCUCUCACACGUUACCCUCAUAAUAUUCCAAGACUCCUACCUUCACUCUUACACGCCUCUCCCUCUCCCUCUUCUAUCUGGACUCACCCAAUAAAACAAAAAAUAAGAAAAGAAAAAGCUAAAAACUCAUAUACAUAUACCCGCAUUUCUCUCUCACAGGAGGACUCAUUCUCUGUAGCAUGAGAAAAGAGAAACAAAAAGAAAAGAAUAAGGAAAAAGAGUCAAAAUCCAACAAACCCACGGUUACCUCUUCUCUCCAUUUUUCCGCCUCUUACCAUAAACCCACCACCAUAAAUCACCGGCGAGCCAACCGCCAACAACCCCUCUCCGUUCUUCGCUCACAAACAUCGCGUGCCACAACCACAACCCUACGACGAACUCCCUUCGACUGACCUUCGCACCACCGAAAAACCCACUUCAGAUCCGGCCACGAGACCGCCGACGUCACCACCAACAUCCAUCCAACACCGUGUUCAAAUCACCAUUAAAACCAGCGAUCUCUCUCACUGUUCUCCCACCAAUUCACUUCCGACUCACCCCGAAACAACCUUCAUGUCCACCAUCAUCUACUUGUCAAACACACAUGACCGACCACCGCAUCUAACAUAAGAUUUCGUCGAUGUAUUCCACUUCCUUCACCAUACCACGACAUCGCCGCAUGAAUAAACUCAGUAACCAUGCUCCACGAACCUUCAAGCAACCAUACUAACGAGAUUGAGUCACUUCGCCGAGUUUGUUCUUGCAAGUUUUGGGGAAGAUUUAUUUCGGUUCGGUCAUGUUUACGACGACGGUAACAACUACAUGACUCUGCUCAAGUUUCUUUACAGCAACUCUAAAAUAAUAACAUAAUAGUCGAGCUUACUCUCUCCAGGUUCUUCCGCCGGCAGUGGUAAUUUUCACAUUCUUUAUAUUGUACCUUUUUAUUCAUGAUAUUUUGUUUUGAAAAGAUUUACUUGGAACAUAGAUCUUGCCUUUGUUUUUUUUUUGUUUUUAAAGAAAAUAUGCCAUCACUUAGUUAUUCAAAUGACAUGAUUUACAUUUUGGUGCAUGUUGAUUAGCUUAUUUGGUUGCAAAUGCAUGUCAAGGUGUUGCUUAUCUUGGCAGAUAAAUUGUCUCCCUGCUUGGAGUUGUGUGGCAAAAGAAAAAUGUUUAUAGUUGUUAUUUUUUUUGCUAUUUAUGUUUAAGAUAUGUUUUGUAAUUAUGUUGUUUUUGCUGCAUGAUUUGUAGCCGUAUGAAUGCAAUUUGUGGUUAUAAUGUGUCUAU